AUUUGCAUCACCACAUUUGCCUCGCACAUUUAAACAUGUGACGCAAUUGACAGUUCUAAGCUUUAAAAUUAGUCAUUUGCGUCGCAGAAUUAUUAAUCUGCGACGCAAAUGACUCUAAAAUGUUCUCAGAGUCAUUUGCGUCGCAGAUUAGUAAUAAUGCGACGCAAAAUAUUACCUCCUUUGCGUCGCAGAAUUACUAAUCUGCGACGCAAAUGACUCUUUAAGUCACCUGCGUCGCAGAUUAGUAAUUCUGCGACGCAGAGGAGGUAAAAAAAAUUCGGAAGUUUUUAAUUAUUCCUUCUCCCCUCUUUUUCUCUCUCUUCUUCUUUCCAGAACUCCAUUCAUGAGAUGUCAAUACCUCUCAAUCUUUCAUUCAUUUGAAAUCUCCUCUAACCACUAUACGUAUUUUGCCUUUAAUUUACCCGGAAAAAUCAAGAUUUGCGAAAACACGGCUCGAAGAGAAAAAUCCUAGAUUCCGCCGCGAAGAAGGAGACAUUUCAAAGCAGUGCAGCUCGAUUGCUAGCGAGUCUCCGAUCCAAUUCUGCGAAUUAGUUCGUCGGCGAUUUAGGUACAGCGCAAUUUAUGUUAAUUAGGGUUCUUGUUUAUCAGCCUACGGUGUAUAGAAGAUUUCAAGGGUUCUUGUUUAUCAGCCUAUUUCUAGGGUUUUUAAGGUUGGGUGAAACGCCAAACCGUUGGAGCUGGAUCUUCGGUUAACGUCGCCGCCGUCAUUGAUUACCUUAUUUCUUAGAUGGUGCCUGAUAUUGUAGAGGGUGAUGGGUUUGUUGGGAGGCAGCCUCAUAUCAAGUAUGAGCUCAGAGAUAGUCCUGGUCUUGUGAAUGUAGGAGGAUACAACCAAUGUGUAUUCUUCAACUGCAGUUAUAGUAGUUCGGAUACUCCACUGAGUGAGGGUCAGUGCCAUUGGUUUUCUCCCAAGGGUUCUACUUUGCUUAAAGCGGGCUCUAAAAAUCGCAAAUGCCGCUCAACAGAUGGCUAAUGCUACUCGGGGUAGUGGUGGUUUAGUUAUGCUGUUCAUUGAAAUCAUCAAUAAGUAUCUCUAUUUUUUUGAGAAGGGAAACAACCAAAUCACCGUCAAUACAAUCCAGGAUCUAAUGGAAUUAAUUACUACAGAGAUGCAAAGUGAUAAUGCGGCAACAGAUUCUGCUGCUGAAGCUUUCUUUGCAAGCACAUUGCGGUACAUCCAAUUCCAGAAACAAAAAGGUGGCGCAGUUAGUGAGAAAUAUGAACCUAAUGAGAACUGAAAAGUUAAAACUUGAGAAAGGGAAACAAACUCGGUAACAAUUGCUCUUCAAUCCGCUAAACUUGUGAGAAUUGUCGCCUUUGAUCUUGCUCUUGGGACUCUUGAAUGGUUCCCUCAUUUGUCUUUGAAUACGCUGACGCUGACGCUGCGUGCUACGUGUGUCAUGGGAAGUUGCUUAUCCAAGCAUGAUCUCAACUCUCAAAUUGAUUUGGUAAUUGAAAUUUUGAAGCGUCCAGGAGAAGUCCUCCCUGUUUGUCUUAGUGUCGCACGAACGCUGUAAAUUCAUAAUUUAGUGUGCUUCAAUUUUAAUUUCUCGGCUUUUUUUUUCUCGGUUCAAAUUUUUAUUUUUAUUUCAUAUUGUAAUUUGUUUGAUUUUGGUCUGACAAUGGAGUUUUUUUCAUCUGCUUGAAUGAUA